rnacentral:lncRNA from 1 species
UCGCGAAGCAGUUGCUGUGUGCGGGUGUGCGCCUUAGAGAUAAAUUUAUUACAAGGGAAGAACCUGAGAGGUUGGCCAGAGCCAGUGUGCAGUUUGUUGCAGGUAUCUUCUAGCUGCAGGCAUGGAGCAACAAACGGCAAGGGAGGCAAACCGAAUUGUUAAAAAUAGUCGAAACACCUGAAUUAUGCGUUCCAUGUGAAGUUAUGGCAGCUGCAACGCCUUGAUGGGCGUGGAGAGCUGAAAUACCCCUGCACCGAGCUAUCCCUGCACGUUCGGCCUGGAGCCUUCAGUGGCCGUACCCAUCAAACACAGGGCAAGCGUGCAUCAUGAUCAGACUGGCUCAAGGCGGUGAGUGUUCUUAAUUGAAGUGAAAGGU